rnacentral:rRNA from 1 species
GUAGGUGGCAAGCGUCGUCCGGAAUUAUUGGGCGUAAAGCGCGCGCAGGUGGUUCUUUAAGUCUGAUGUGAAAGCCCCCGGGCUCAACCGGGGAGGGUCAUUGGAAACUGGGGAACUUGAGUGCAGGAGAGGAAAGUGGAAUUCCACGUGUAGCGGUGAAAUGCGUAGAUAUGUGGAGGAACACCAGUGGCGAAGGCGACUUUCUGGCCUGUAACUGACACUGAGGCGCGAAAGCGUGGGGAGCAAACAGGAUUAGAUACCCUGGUAGUCCACGCCGUAAACGAUGAGUGCUAAGUGUUGGGGGGUUUCCGCCCCUCAGUGCUGCAGCUAACGCAUUAAGCACUCCGCCUGGGGAGUACGGUCGCAAAGACUG